rnacentral:rRNA from 1 species
CUUGGUCAUUUAGAGGAAGUAAAAGUCGUAACAAGGUUUCCGUAGCUCAAGUCUACGAAGAACAGCAAUGUUCCUUCCGCAGAGUACACUUGCAGAAGCCUUAGUGGCCCGAAAGGGUUUCAUCAGCGACUCUAAACAAGUAGGUGGAUUAAACGCUAGUCUCUCUGGAAGAGGCGACACUAUCAAAUUGCGGGAAGAUCCUGUCAGGUCCACAUCACCGCGGCUCACCGAAAGGUGUAGUGCAGCACCAGGCUAACAACCUUGGGUAUGGUAAUAGUAUGUGGAAUAGGGAGAAUCUGCAGCCAAGCCCCUCUCUUGGGGUGCAGUUCACAGGCCAAAUGGUAGUGGGCACUCUGGUGCUUAAGAUAUGGUCGAGUCCCAAUUGAAAAAUUGGGUACAAGUACUCUGAUUGAUUACAUACAGUCUAUGCUCAGUCGAAUACAGCUAGUUGUAAAUGCAAAUGUUCCGUAGGUGAACCUGCGGAAGGAUCAUUAAUGAAUUAAAGUCGGUCUUCUGUGCUGGUGGCAACACAUGUGCACGUUGAUCGCAAAUCCACACACCUGUGCACCUUUGACUUUGGGACCUGCUUAUCUGACUUGGCUUUGUGCCUGUCUGGGUCCCAGAGUAUUUUUACACACUCUGAAUGUAAUGGAAUGUCUCUGUGCAUAAUGCGCAAAAAUACAACUUUCAACAACGGAUCUCUUGGCUCUCGCACCGAUGAAGAACGCAGCGAAAUGCGAUAAGUAAUGUGAAUUGCAGAAUUCAGUGAAUCAUCGAAUCUUUGAACGCACCUUGCACCCUUUGGUAUUCCAAAGGGUACACCCGUUUGAGUGUCAUUGUAAUCUCACUCCACCAGCUAUUUGUUGGUGGAUGUGGACCUGGACUCUGUUGUGUUACUACAACUGGUCUGAAAUGCAUGAGUGCACCCUGCUGUUGCAGCGUUUUCAGUGUGAUAAGCAUCUUCACUGGAUCAAGCUCCCUUGGGACACGCAGCAUUGUGGGCUCUGUGCUGGCAAACUGUCUUUGGACAACUUUGACAAUUUGACCUCAGAUCGGGUGGGACUACCCGCUGAACUUAAGCAUAUCAAUAAGCGGAGGAAAAGAAACUAACAAGGAUUCCCCUAGUAACGGCGAGUGAAGAGGGAAAAGCUCAAAUUUUGAAUCUGGUGUCUUUGACAUCCGAGUUGUAAUCUAGAGAAGUGUUUUUUGCCUCGGACCACACAUAAGUUCCCUGGAAUGGGGUGUCAUAGAGGGUGAGAAUCCCGUUUGUGGUGUGGACUACCUUGGCUUUGUAAUACACUCUCAACGAGUCGAGUUGUUUGGGAAUGCAGCUCAAAAUGGGUGGUAAAUUCCAUCUAAAGCUAAAUACUGGCGAGAGACCGAUAGCGAACAAGUACCGUGAGGGAAAGAUGAAAAGCACUUUGGAAAGAGAGUGAAAUAGUACGUGAAAUUGUUGAAAGGGAAGCGUUUGAAGUCAGUCACAUUGGUCAGAAUUCAGCCUGGCUUCUGCCUGGUUCACUUUUUGGCAAAUGGGUCAGCAUCAAUUUUGAUUGAGGGAGAAAGACUUGAGGAAUGUGGCUGUCUUCGGACAGUGUUAUAGCCUCUUGUUGUAUGUCUCAAUUGGGAUUGAGGAAUGCAGCACGCCUUAUGGCCGGGGUUCGCCCUCGGUACGUGCUUAGGAUGUUGACAUAAUGGCUUUAAGCGACCCGUCUUGAAACACGGACCAAGGAGUCUAACAUGUGCGCGAGUGUUUAGGUGUCAAACCUGGGCGCGUAAUGAAAGUGAAAAGUCGGGAUCAUGUACUUGUGCACCGACACCCGGAGCAGACCUUCUGUGACGCAUCCGCGGUAGAGCGUAUAUGUUGGGACCCGAAAGAUGGUGAACUAUGCCUGAAUAGGGUGAAGCCAGAGGAAACUCUGGUGGAGGCUCGUAGCGAUUCUGACGUGCAAAUCGAUCGUCAAAUUUGGGUAUAGGGGCGAAAGACUAAUCSAACCAUCUAGUAGCUGGUUCCUGCCGAAGUUUCCCUCAGGAUAGCAGAAACUCAUUAUCASCCUUGSCRG